UUACGGUCACAUCACAUUGAAUCACCUCUUCCCAUGCGAUCAUCGAAGUUGAGCAACGUUAAGCCUGCUCAGUACUUAGAUGAGUGACCGUUUUGGGAAUGUCAUGUUCUGUA